AAUGGCUCAUUAAAUCAGUUAUCGUUUAUUUGAUAGUUCCUUUACUACAUGGUGUAACUGUGGUAAUUCUAGAGCUAAUACAUGCUUAAAAUCUCGACCCUUUGGAAGAGAUGUAUUUAUUAGAUAAAAAAUCAAUGUCUUCGGACUCUUUGAUGAUUCAUAAUAACUUUUCGAAUCGCAUGGCCUUGUGCUGGCGAUGGUUCAUUCAAAUUUCUGCCCUAUCAACUUUCGAUGGUAGGAUAGUGGCCUACCAUGGUUUCAACGGGUAACGGGGAAUAAGGGUUCGAUUCCGGAGAGGGAGCCUGAGAAACGGCUACCACAUCCAAGGAAGGCAGCAGGCGCGCAAAUUACCCAAUCCUAAUUCAGGGAGGUAGUGACAAUAAAUAACGAUACAGGGCCCAUUCGGGUCUUGUAAUUGGAAUGAGUACAAUGUAAAUACCUUAACGAGGAACAAUUGGAGGGCAAGUCUGGUGCCAGCAGCCGCGGUAAUUCCAGCUCCAAUAGCGUAUAUUAAAGUUGUUGCAGUUAAAAAGCUCGUAGUUGAACUUUGGGCCCGGUUGGCCGGUCCGAUUUUUUCGUGUACUGGAUUUCCAACGGGGCCUUUCCUUCUGGCUAACCUUGAGUCCUUGUGGCUCUUGGCGAACCAGGACUUUUACUUUGAAAAAAUUAGAGUGUUCAAAGCAGGCGUAUUGCUCGAAUAUAUUAGCAUGGAAUAAUAGAAUAGGACGUUUGGUUCUAUUUUGUUGGUUU
rnacentral:rRNA from 1 species